UACAGAGGUCUCAAGCGUUGUUCGGAUUCAUUGGGCGUAAAGGGUGUGUAGGUGGCGCGCUAAGUCGGGUGUGAAAUUUCGGAGCUUAACUCCGAAACUGCAUUCGAUACUGGCGUGCUUGAGGACUGGAGAGGAGACUGGAAUUCAUGGUGUAGCAGUGAAAUGCGUAGAGAUCAUGAGGAAGACCAGUGGCGAAGGCGGGUCUCUGGACAAAUCCUGACGCUGAGGCGCGAAGGCUAGGGGAGCAAACGGG
rnacentral:rRNA from 1 species